UAAAAGAAAUCACAGAGGAAACUGAUGCUAUCAACUACGUAAUAAAAGAGAGGAAGCAGGCUUCAUUUGUAAUGACAAAUUCUCCCUGUCUCGCCAAGCUCAGAAAUAAAGCCCCGAAGGAAGGGUGUAGUAGGGUGUAGUACGUGGUUUCGGAUGUGUGGACCACACUAGCGCCAGGAAGCCAGCAGAGCCUCAGCCAAAUCCAAGUCCACAAAGCCACCUCGGAAGCAAUGCACCAGCAUCCUGCCCUGUCUCCAGGCUCUCUGGGCGGGUUCUCCCUGAGCCCUUCCAGAUGGCUUCUGUUUGCUCCUCUCUUCACCAGAUCUGCACAUGUGGCCAUCAGAAGGCAGCCGGGCUGGCGCUGGUGGAAUUCUCCAGCAACUUUCUUCUGAAAUUCCCAAACAACUUCCAGUGCAGAACUCCUGCCUCGGUUUAAGUUAAGGAAGGUUGCUAAAGCCCCACUGUGUAUCUAGUUGGGGUGCUUUGCACACAGUGAAAAAUCAGUCCCUCACUGGGAAGGCAAAACUAACCUAGAGGAAAACAUAACAAUGGAAAAAACUUUAAGGUGAAGGGCCUCUGAAGUCUCCCUGUGUUCUAGGAAAUCAUAAUGUCAGCUGAGGAUUGAAGAGGUCUGUUCCCUCGACUCGCAGAGAUCAUCGAAAUGACCUGACCAGGCACGGUGGCUCAUGCUUGCAAUCCCAGCACUUUGGGAGGCCAAGGCAGGAAGAUCACUCCGACUAGCCUGAGCAACAUAGGUAGACCUCAUCUCCACAAAAGAAACAAAUGAACAAAACAUUAGCCAGGUGUGGUGGCACAUGCCUGUGGUCCCAGCUACUCAGGAGGCUGAGGUGGGAAGAUCCCUU
rnacentral:lncRNA from 1 species